rnacentral:rRNA from 1 species
AUGAACGCUGGCGGCGUGCCUAAUACCUGCAAGUCGAGCGAACAGACGAGGAGCUUGCUCCUCUGACGUUAGCGGCGGACGGGUGAGUAACACGUGGAUAACCUACCUAUAAGACUGGGAUAACUUCGGGAAACCGGAGCUAAUACCGGAUAAUAUAUUGAACCGCAUGGUUCAAUAGUGAAAGACGGUUUUGCUGUCACUUAUAGAUGGAUCCGCGCCGCAUUAGCUAGUUGGUAAGGUAACGGCUUACCAAGGCAACGAUGCGUAGCCGACCUGAGAGGGUGAUCGGCCACACUGGAACUGAGACACGGUCCAGACUCCUACGGGAGGCAGCAGUAGGGAAUCGUCCGCAAUGGGCGAAAGCCUGACGGAGCAACGCCGCGUGAGUGAUGAAGGUCUUCGGAUCGUAAAACUCUGUUAUUAGGGAAGAACAAAUGUGUAAGUAACUAUGCACGUCUUGACGGUACCUAAUCAGAAAGCCACGGCUAACUACGUG